CGAGAUCUUCACGGGAAGAAGAAGGAGGAGCUGCGGAAACAGCUGGAUGACCUGAAGGUGGAGCUGUCCCAGCUGCGCGUCGCCAAAGUGACAGGCGGUGCGGCCUCCAAGCUCUCUAAGAGUUAUUAACCAGACUCAGAAAGAAAACCUCAGGAAAUUCUACAAGGGCAAGAAGUACAAGCCCCUGGACCUGCGGCCUAAGAAGACACGCGCCACGCGCCACCGGCUCAACAAGCGCGAGGAGCACCUGA
rnacentral:lncRNA from 1 species